UACGAAGGGGGCUAGCGUUGCUCGGAAUCACUGGGCGUAAAGCGCACGUAGGCGGAUUGUUAAGUCGGGGGUGAAAUCCUGGAGCUCAACUCCAGAACUGCCUUCGAUACUGGCGAUCUUGAGUCCGGGAGAGGUGAGUGGAACUCCGAGUGUAGAGGUGAAAUUCGUAGAUAUUCGGAAGAACACCAGUGGCGAAGGCGGCUCACUGGCCCGGUACUGACGCUGAGACACGAAAGCCAGGGGAGCAAACGGG
rnacentral:rRNA from 1 species